CAGCAGCCGCGGUAAUACGUAGGGUGCGAGCGUUGUCCGGAAUUAUUGGGCGUAAAGAGCUUGUAGGCGGUCUGUCGCGUCUGCUGUGAAAACCCGAGGCUCAACCUCGGGCCUGCAGUGGGUACGGGCAGACUAGAGUGCGGUAGGGGAGAACGGAACUCCUGGUGUAGCGGUGGAAUGCGCAGAUAUCAGGAAGAACACCGAUGGCGAAGGCAGUUCUCUGGGCCGUAACUGACGCUGAGAAGCGAAAGCGUGGGGAGCGAACAGGAUUAGAUACCCGCGUAGUCCCUGUCUCUUAUAC
rnacentral:rRNA from 1 species